rnacentral:rRNA from 1 species
AUUGAACGCUGGCGGCAGGCCUAACACAUGCAAGUCGAACGGUAACAGGAAGAAGCUUGCUUCUUUGCUGACGAGUGGCGGACGGGUGAGUAAUGUCUGGGAAACUGCCUGAUGGAGGGGGAUAACUACUGGAAACGGUAGCUAAUACCGCAUAACGUCGCAAGACCAAAGAGGGGGACCUUCGGGCCUCUUGCCAUCGGAUGUGCCCGGAUGGGAUUAGCUAGUAGGUGGGGUAACGGCUCACCUAGGCGACGAUCCCUAGCUGGUCUGAGAGGAUGACCAGCCACACUGGAACUGAGACACGGUCCAGACUCCUACGGGAGGCAGCAGUGGGGAAUAUUGCACAAUGGGCGCAAGCCUGAUGCAGCCAUGCCGCGUGUAUGAAGAAGGCCUUCGGGUUGUAAAGUACUUUCAGCGGGGAGGAAGGGAGUAAAGUUAAUACCUUUGCUCAUUGACGUUACCCGCAGAAGAAGCUCCGGCUAACUCCGUG